rnacentral:rRNA from 1 species
AAACAUAACCUUUAGCCAAACAAAUAUUAAAGGCAACGCCUGCCCAGUGAACAAUUAAACGGCCGCGGUACCCUAACCGUGCAAAGGUAGCGUAAUCACUUGUCUAUUAAUUGUAGACCAGUAUGAAAGGCAAAAUGAGGGUUUAUCUGUCUCUUACAAUUAAUCAAUUAAACUGAUCUUCUAGUAAAAAAGCUAGAAUAUACACAUAAGACCAGAAGACCCUGUGAAGCUUAAACUAAAGUAUUAAAUCCUAUAAUACCAACUUUCGGUUGGGGCGACCUUGGAAAAAAAAAGAACUUCCAAAUAUAUGACCACACUCACAUACAGGCCAACAAGCCUCCCAAUAGACCCAGUACACCUGACAAUUGAACCAAGUUACUCCAGGGAUAACAGCGCCAUCUUCUUCAAGAGUCCAUAUCAAAAAGAAGGUUUACGACCUCGAUGUUGGAUCAGGACAUCCUAAUGGUGUAGCCGCUAUUAAGGGUUCGUUUGUUCAACGAUUAAUAGUCCUACGUGAUC